UAUUCCUACAGGGGAACAAAAGCAAUCGGACAGAAUGGGUACAGUAAGUUGAGUUUGCAUACUUUAUUCUAAUUUAAGAACAACAAUAAAACAAUCUAACACAUUUUUAACAGUAAAAAAAUAAUGGAAAAGACACAUUACCUUCUGCCACUUUUCCAGUUGUUUACUGACAUAUCCCCUUUCAUUUAGAUAGGAGAACCCCUUUGGAAUGGACAAAAACCUGGAAAUGGAUGCCACAUGAUAGAUGAAAAGGAGCAGUUUCUUAUGCAAAACAGACCCUUUUCAACUUUACUACUAAGCCUCAUCCAGUAUGUCCAAAGCCUCCACCGAGACGGCCUUGUUGCGGUCGUGUAACUGAGUCACCAGCAGUUCAAUACCCCAGUUGCUGAAGAACUCCACGUUAGCUCGAAGUAGCACCCGCAGAUGCUUGGUGGCGUACAGCCUGGAAUUCUGUGCCAGAAUAACAUUCAAGAAUUGUAUUAGAGAUCUGUUUGCAUAGGGGAAUGCUUUUACUAGCAUGCUUUGCUAAGCACGGUAAGGUCCAAGUGUAUGGCACUAAGGUAAACACACUCAAAGGGGGUUAAGGUCUGUUUUUUUACAUCAGUGGCAGCAGUGAGGAUCUUUGAGAGGAUGACUCGUGCUAAGCCAUCUCGACUGUAGUCCAGUGUGGAAACGGUCAGCUUCAGAAGAUGGUCCUGGUUCUUCAGGGUGCACAGGUUCAGCAGGCUGUCAAAAAAAAUAGAAAAAGGGCUAUUGGAAGAUCCCAGUGUAUUGUGUAUCUCUAUAUCAUUUCUGCAAAGUCCUAAUCGAACCAUUGGAAGACGCUGCACUUCUCAAGCAUCUUAACACCCUGGGGGUGGGCAGAGAGCGUGCCGAGGAACAGGAAGUAGUGCUGGCUGAGAGUAGUGAGGAGGCCAUUGCUCUGCAGACUUCGGUCUGGUUUAAGCCCAGAGGACGAGGUCAGCCACUGCACAAUGUCCUUCACCAGGUCCUCAAGAUACACCUGUCCAUCCUGAGAAGAAAGGAACAUAGCUCAAAAUUAAUAAAUUCUGUCAUCUAUCAUGCCAUUCGUUCUUCUGUGAAACACAAAUGGGGAAGUUGGAAGAAAGAAAGUUCUAUACUGUAGGUUCGGAGCAACAUGACAGUGAGUAAAUAAUAAGCUCAGUUCUGAUAUCUCUUCUUCUCACCUCAUCUGACUCCAGCAGGAACUCAAUGAACUGACAGCCCACCACCGUUAAUUGCCUGCCCUUGCUGUGGUCCAGCUCCAGGCUAGCAUACAGCUUGCUGCUGGGCUUGUAGAAGAACAGCAGCCUUCGCACAAGCCUGAGAAAGAAAGUGUAGGAUUUACAACAAUGAAUGGACGACAAAAAAUGUGAAUCUGGACAACAAAACCAGUCUCAAAAUUGAGCUUUACAUUGAUGUAUAGUUUGUUAGGAUUGGACAAUAUUUGUCCGAGAUACAACUAUUUAAAAA